CAACAACCCAGUUAAGAAAGAAGACAAACACAAACUAAAAACAGAGAAUACAAUUCAGAAAACGUUUAUUAAGUGCCUGGUAUUUUUUUUAAUCCCUCCAUCCAACAUUCACUGAGCAUUACUAGGGCCAGGCACUGUGCUUAGCCCCUGGAAAUUGAGACACACUAAAAUAUACAAGCUGGCAGGUCACAUGGAUAAAUAAACCCAUUAUAAUAAGUUUCCUGCCAGAGCAAUGUUCAAAGUACAGCAACAACUUGGAGAAAGGCGUGUCGACCGCUCCCAGGGAUACUGGGCAGGUAUGGUGGAGAAGAUAAGCUCGAGCUGCUUGUUUGUUUUUCACUUACUAUGACAUUUUACACCAUACACAAAAAUAUAGAGACUAGCACAGCGAAUCUCCAUGUGCACACAACCCGGCUUCGACAGUUAGUAACCCAGAGCCACUUUUGAUGCAUCUAUACCCCCACCCGCUUCCCUCUAUCCCUUCGUUUUGUUUUGAAGCCAAUCCUAAACCUUUUUCCCAUUUCACCCAUAAAUAGUGAGCUGCGUUUGAAGAAGGAACUGGAAUGUCUGGACCUUCCACUAGUAACAUGCUUCUCCCCAUCUAUUCUUCCGCUAGUGGCUCUGCCAGAGUUACAUACUCUUGAUUCCUGCCAGUGACUCCAAAGCCUUGGCUGGUUCAGGGUAAAGAUCCAAGACUUUACUUGAGCCUUUGAGUUGGCUGAAGCAAAAGAACCAAGCCCACAAAAACCCCAUCCUGCCUUAUCUGGAAUGCUGACCACGUUCUUCUGGUCCUUGGUCCUCAUAAAAUUGCUAACUCUUUAGAAGUUUAUUGAGCAUCUAAUGUUUGUACAAAAUGGUGGCUACAUUCCACAUUCCCAUUUGCCCUUAGCAACCUCCUGGGAAACCCCAGACAGCAUGGGGCUUGCCCUGCAGGCCAAGGUGAGGUGGAAUAGCUUCCUGUCACGACCUUGAUCUUCACUGGGUUGGGAGCAUGGUCGCAUCUGAGUAUUUGGCCUUUCUACCUUCCGCUUCUCUCUCUCUCUGAAAGGUACCAACAUCCAUAGGGUUAGUUACUCAACCCGUAACAUUAUCCUGUAUUCCCUUCCCUCACAAUUUUGUCUAUUCUUUUAAAGCCAUCCACUUUUGCCCACCUCCAUCAUCACCCUUCCAUCCAGGCCACCAUUCCCUUCCCUCAAGUACUGCAAUAUCUAAGCAUCUUUCUGCCUUUAGCAUCCCCUACGCCCGCCUCCUUCUCCACGCAGCAACUUACUGAUCUUUAUAAAACCCCCUGCUUAAAACCCUUUCAAGGUUCCUACCACGCACAGGAUCCAGACCAACCUCCUUACCACAGACAAGAAGGCCCUGCAAAACAUGGAGAAACUGAGGAUGGGCACCUUACCCAUGGUCACACAGCUAGUGAACGGAAGAGCCGAGACUCGGGGCUCUAGAGGCCACGGGCUUAACCACUGAGUCCUAGCCUCCCCACACACCCCUCCACCGCUGCAGCGAUCACUCCCAGCUGUGGUCGUCGGCCCGCUGUACUUGGGCGGGGACCGCCCGGCUGGCAGAGGAACGAGGCGUCUGAUUGGCC
ensembl:lncRNA